AUUCAUAUCCGCGCUGGCACGCGGAUCAGGAUCUAGUUAAUCUAUCCUAUACUAAAAGGGAUAUAUGAGGAGUAGGGAGGCUGUCCACGUCCUCAAUUAAAUCGACCAAUAGAAAAACAUUUUGUUGCCACGUCACAAGCGCUGAGAUAGAAUGGACAUUUUGUGUGGGCUACGUAAAAUUAUAUUCGGCCCAAAGGUGUUUAAGUUUUACAAUUCUCUUUUUCCAUUCUUCCAUUUCCUCUUCUCCGAUCCCUGAGUUCAUGCGUUACCCUUUAAACAAUCAAAGAUAAUCUUAAAAGUCUUCUUGAAUGUGUCGUUCCUCCUCCUCUUAAUCAUUCUUCUAUAUAAAUCUCCAUGUCUAUACCUAAAUCCACCCAAAAUAAAAAAUCAAAAAACCAAAAACCUCAUCUGAAGAAGCUACAUCCAUGACCAUGAAAUCCACCGGAUAAUCUCAACUCUCCACCAGAAAAUCUCCAGUCGCCGUAUAUUUCAACAACCUCUCACCAGGACUAGGAUCAAGAUGGAGGUCGCUUCAGAGGGUACCAAUCUCAUGAAGAAGGUGCAUCCUGAUGAGCACAUAGUACCUUCGUUAGGUUAGAAUCUCAAAACAGUGGGUUUCAGCAAAUUUUAGAAUUUUGCUUUAUAUUUGUAUGCAGAGAUCGAUCUCGAGUUGGAUGCUCUAAGUUUGUAAAAAAGGCUCAUUACUCUAGGGUUUUUUUUUUGUCGCUGGUGGAGAUUUGUUGCAGAACGCUGUGGCUUUUGAGUUCACAUCGGCUCCAGAUCACGUCUGUGUAAGCUGUAGUUAUCAUUCUUCGUUAAACCAAGCAUUUAGGUGAUUCGUAUUACUUUUCCCACUCUCUUUUGCAUUUAAUCGGCAUAACCAUCUAUCAGAGUAACCGAUUGAAGCUUGGAGCAUAUAUUAUUUUGUAGGCUGCGAUGAACAUCUUCCUUGCUACACAGGUAUGAAGGUGAUUAUUACAGAACUCUCUUGCAAUAGUAUCAUUAUCCUCCAAGGUAACCGCUGGAAGGUCUAAACUAUAAAUGUGUUCUUUCUGUGCGAUUAACAGCCACACUGCUACGAAUUCUCCAUGUUCAAUCGAUUGUAUCUCUACAACUCAUUAUUCCUUUGUUAUCAUAUAGAUUUAUUGAAAAAUGCUAAUCCUUUUGUAGUUUGCUUUGUAGCUCUUUACGAGAGGAUGGAGCAGUUCUUCUGAAUGCUCUUAAGGUAUAUGCAGCACUACGAUGAUGUUAGACUGUCUAACCUUGGUAUGGAUGACACAAACGAUCCGGUUGAGACUCACCAGUAGCUAGGAAGUGUUAAGGACUGGAUCAGCUCCCGCCACCUCAAAACUCUAAAGCUCACAGAUUUCAUUCAAACUUCCUUGAUAUCUCAAUAAAAUCAUGGACCAGCUGGAGAAAAAAAUGUGUUCUUUGUAGAGCAGGGAAGGACACAUGCGUCAUAAACGGAGACACGCGAAUUAAAGUUUGUGAAAAUGGAUCUGAUGGUAAAGUACUAAAGCUGCUCCAAAAAACGGGAAAGCUAUUACUUCUCAAGACUACAUGUACAUGAAAGUGCUCUGUACCAUUAGAUGCAAUAUGUAACCACUGACCAUUACAGAGCUUCACAACAAGUUGGAUGGUGAAGCCAACCAGACUACAGCAGUUUGUAAGCUAAUCCAAGAAGGCUACAUGAAGAUUCUAGCAGCCGCUGUCUAGGUUUGCUUUCUCAGUUCAGACCCUACUCUUUUAAGGUUUGUUGGUCAUAAAGCUGCAUCACUAAUGCCAUGGAUAUAUAGAGGGAAGCGUGUAAUUUUCUCAAGUCUAACCGAGUAGAAGCUGAAUGUAGUUAGAAAGUUAUUGACCCAUUAACCACAGUGGAAGCAUAUGUGAACAGUGAUGGUGUAGCCAAUGCGCUUAUCCAACACCAGUGGCGUCCAAAGUAGUUUAUUACUGCACUGUCUGUAGUUUGCCAGAGACAUGGGAUCUUGCCGUUUCCACAUCGAAUAAUCCAUAAGCUGAUUUUGGCAUGGAACAAUCGAGUGCUUUAAUUAGUUGUGGAUGCUCUCCAAGAACUUGAAAGAGUUAUCAGUACAGUGAUUUUACAUUUACGGUUCUUUCGUCUCCCAUGUCCUCUUCAGUUCAUACAUAAUAUGAUGAUUUUAGGGUUAUAACUUUCUUUUUGAUCAACCAUCAGGUUUAAUAUCACUAUAUGUUUUUGAUACGUCACUUCAUCUUUUCUUUUCUUUUUCUACUGCAAAUUGAUGUCAAAAUCAAAUUAAGGAUAUAAACUAUAAUAUAGAAGAUUAUUUUGAAUUAA